rnacentral:rRNA from 1 species
UAGGGAAUCUUCCGCAAUGGACGCAAGUCUGACGGAGCAACGCCGCGUGAGUGAAGAAGGAUUUCGGUUCGUAAAACUCUGUUGUUAGAGAAGAACAGCGCAUAGAGUAACUGUUAUGCGUGUGACGGUAUCUAACCAGAAAGCCACGGCUAACUACGUGCCAGCAGCCGCGGUAAUACGUAGGUCCCGAGCGUUGUCCGGAUUUAUUGGGCGUAAAGCGAGCGCAGGCGGUUAGAUAAGUCUGAAGUUAAAGGCAGUGGCUCAACCAUUGUAGGCUUUGGAAACUGUUUAACUUGAGUGCAGAAGGGGAGAGUGGAAUUCCAUGUGUAGCGGUGAAAUGCGUAGAUAUAUGGAGGAACACCGGUGGCGAAGGCGGCUCUCUGGUCUGUAACUGACGCUGAGGCUCGAAAGCGUGGGGAGCGAACAGG